GGUUCUGUAUUCAUAUAAUGAUUUUAAAUUGCAAAUUUGAAGGUGAAUUUUAAUUCCAGGGCUU
rnacentral:tRNA from 1 species